UAGCUUCUCUACUCCUCUGACACCCAAAUGGAAGUUUCUUUAUCUGUAUGGGUUUUGGGGAGACACGGCUCUGGAUGAGGAAUAAGAGGGAAAGAAGGAUUCUUUUUUUAUUUUAUUCUUUUUUUUAUUUUUGAGAGAGAGAAACAGCAUGAGCGGGGGAGGGGCAGAGAGCGAGAAGGAAACAGAGAAUGGAAGCAGGCUGCAGGCUCUGAGCUGUCAGCACAGAGCCCGACACGGGGCUCGAACUCACAGACCUCAAGAUCAUGACCUGAGCUGAAGUCAGACCCCUAACCGACUGAGCCACCCAGGUGCCCCGCGAUUCUUUUCAUUUUCUAUGCAGAAAGUGUGCAAUUAGGCAAUUACCUGUCCCUCACCCUCCAUCUGAGCUAGCGUAAAACACAUCCUUUUUGUACUGACGGUAUAUGCCGAGUAUUUAUAGUGGAAGGAGACGGGAGUAAUCUCUCUAGCAAUAAGUCCUUUACCUGUACUGUAGCCGCAAGAGGAAUGGAUGUGCCUUGUGUGGAAUUAACCCUGGGGUUUGGUUUUCAGUUAAGAAAAUGAGGCAGAAGGAAGUGUUAACCAAGACCUUCCAAGGCCCAGCCAUUGUCUGUAGGACUCCGACCAGCCACGUUUACAUGUUUGAGAACGGUGGUGGGGACUCAGGGGACUCCUCUGAGGAAGAGUCCCACCGCGUGGCUCUGCGGCCCCGGGGCAAGGAGCGCCAGAAGAAGGGUGCCCCCCACCCUCACCAGCCAGGAGCGGGGGACGUGGUGCUGCUUCAGCGGGAACUGGCCCAGGAGGACAGCCUCAACAAGCUCGCUCUUCAGUAUGGCUGCAAAGUCGCAGAUAUCAAGAAAGUCAACAACUUCAUCAGAGAACAAGAUUUAUAUGCUUUGAAAUCUAUUAAGAUCCCAGUGAAAAAUCAUGGGAUCCUAACAGAGACCCACAAAGAACUCAGACCGGUCCCAAGCCCAUCCUCAGAGACUAGAGUGACCUUCGAGGAGCUGCCAGACCCAGACAGGGCAGCUGUAGGCGCCAGUGCCCUGUCCAGCCCACUGACGGAUUUCUUUAAGGGCAUUGACCAGAAUAUUGAGCGCGCCGUGCAGUCAGAAAUCUUUUUAAAUGAAAGUUGCUGUGGAGAGACCUCCAGUCAGCCGCUGCUUCCAGCACCUCCGAAGACACCAACAAACGGUGCAGACUGUGGGAUUCAGUGGUGGAAUGCUGUUUUUAUCAUGCUUCUAAUUGGAAUUGUUUUACCAGUGUUUUAUUUGGUCUAUUUUAAAAUACAGGCUACUGGCGAGAUCCCCAGCAGCUUGAACACAACUGCUGUCCCCAACGGCUCGAUGACCGUGAGUGCAGUUCCAGGGCAAGCCCCCAGAUUAGCCGUCCCAGUGCCAACCAUCCCCUCUUCAGACAGCCAGUUCAGUCACACCACCCGGGCAGGGAACUAGCCAUCGUUGUUCCUAAAGUAUCCGGCCAGUGUCAGCAUUUGACCUCCUAACAUGCAUCACCUGCCAUCGGCCAGAGCCUUGGGGGCCGCAUUUCCUUUUCUGUGACACACGGACACGUUUCAGAAAACACCAUUGUGUUCUCAGUAACACUCACCUUGGGGAGUAGGCUCGCCUAACCCAAGGCUGUGGGAGCCAAAACACCAGCACCCUCAGCCUCCUACAUCCAGAAGUUAACAGCAAGAGAAACAUUUUCACGUGGCAGGUGCCACUUCUUGAAGCUGCUUUCCGCUGUUUUGGGACACGGUGAGCAGGCACAAGUGUAAGAAAGUGACUGAAGUCUAGGACACAUUCUCUGAAGCUGGGCGAGCUACGUGUCAGUCUAGGUCAUCUGGGAAGCAGACACGGACGGAGUUGGGAGCUCAAGAUUUCUUGCAGGAGGGAAGGGGCAUGCCCCGGCCGUGUGCGGCCAUUGGCUGGGGGCUGGCUCAGAGGAGCUCGUCCUCAGCUCACACCCCGGGACAGCUGGGGAUCGGGGCUCACCUCUUAGUCUCUGGGCUAAGCACAUUCUGCUGUGUGAUGGCACUCGUGCCCUCUGCCCCUGAGGAGUCCCUCUCCUUAGUGUUCCAGGAACACUUCACUUUGUGAACCCCCUUCACUUUGUGUGGAAGGUGGGAAGAAACACGGGUUUCCUCAGUUCUACAGCAGGUGCUGCUCUGACCUUGUACGGAGAGACCAGACAGGCAGAGGGGGGCAGGCUGGGCCAUCCGGCUGGCAGAGGGCUCUGACUGAAAAAUCAUCUUCUUGGCUGGUGCCAGUCGGACACAGAAUCGGCUUAAAAGCAAGAUAAAGCCUAGAGGAAGGCACCCGUGGGAGCUAACUAGGAAAUCGCAGUGAAUUGAUUUUAAGUAGCUGCAGCUGUGAUUAAACUAUUUUUAGCCACAGGACUCCACCGGCUUUCAAAACCUGCUAAUAAGAGCCUCACUGUAGCCAGCAAGUAAAACCAGCACAAAAAUUUAGCUUUUCAUUUGACAGCAAGAAUCUGCUUAGUUAGGAGCUGGCUUAAAAGGCAAACCCAAGGAAGGGAACACUUUCCACACUUCCGAGUUUAAGACAAGUUUUCACACCUGUCACUUCUGAAAACAAUUCAUUUACUGAAUCUGUCUUUUGCCGCUCUCUCAGUAUCAUGUAUGCAUUUUGGGUAAAACAAAUCAUCUCACCCCCUUAAUUCAAAAAGGCAGAACUUGCUAUAUAUAUCAUCCGAUCCCGUUUAGCAGUAUUCCCGCCCGCCCCCGCCAACCCUGGCUCAUCAUCUAUCCCGAGAGAAGUCGUCAUUCCUAGAGCCUGGAUGGGCUUACCGGGUCCACAGCAGCUGCAGUGACGGCCAGGCCCGCCGAUGCUGGGGCCCAGACUUCCCACUGUUUCCUGAGGGGCCAAGGACAGCCCAGAAGGGGAGGAGGCCCUGGGAGCAGCUACGGGUGAGGCUGGUGAGACGCCACGGUGAUCUCCUUGACCGAGUCUGAAGGUGAGUAAAGGAGAUCUGCAGGUGGGAGAGGCCUGUGAGCGGAAGGGAAAGGAGAGGGACUCGGGGGGACAGAGGGGCCGACUGGCGGCAAACACGACAGAGUCUGGAGUACACAGGAAAAGCCAGUCCGUCUUUACUGUAGUGAGUGCAGGAUACAAAUAGUUUACAACAACCUCUAGCAUUUUCUUAACCAUUUGAUAAAAAGUUCACUAUAAUAUUUAUUGUAUAAUGAAGAAAAAACAACACAUUCAGGGAAAAAUUGAGAUUAACUUAUUUUUCUUAAAAGGUUCAUCUCAAGGAUGGCAACAAAGUCCAGCUUGUGCCGCCAAACGGUUUUACGUGAUCAAACCGUGUACAGCUUCUUGUGUGAACUGUUGACUACAAACAUUUACCAAAUACAUAAAUCUCUUUUUAAAAAAGCCAUUUUAAAUAUAGCAAAGCAGUGUCUUCUUGCACAGCAAAGUGAAGAAAGUUUCUACAGAGAAAUAAAAGUUUUACAUUUGUAAAAUCUUUUUCACAUUCUACUCAUCUAGCUUCUCAUGAUCCGACGCCAGGAGUUUUCUGGUUCCUUAUUUACUAUGUAUUUCUUGUGCGCAUGAUGGUUAAUCAAGAAAAUAUGUUAAUGCUUUGUUAGCUGUCCUUAUAGGUAAAGGAAAUGGUAAAACAUAUACUGUUCUUUUAGAACAAACCCCUGAUUUAGUCUCGAACACAAUGGACAGAAUUAGGGCUCAAAAGAUGGAGUUUUGAUCGGGACCAUCUGCAGACAUACGAUGGUGGCUCUACUCUCAGUGUCGUGCCGGGCGGCGCACGGAGGGAAACUGUACUUCAACCAGUGCGGUGUACUCUAAGCUUUUUUUGUUUUUGUCUUUUAGUAAUAAAAUACUUCAUCUGAAGGAUAAAAUUUUCUUGUGAUGGUGUCAUACAAAACACAUGAGUCUAAAACGGUAAGAAAAGUCGGUUCUAAAGAAACACCAUUCGUGUCUUCCCCGCUCUGAGUUGGUUUCCACCAGGAGAUGUGCAUGUGUAUGUGUUUGUACAUGGUGUCUGGGUGAGGGGUGUCUGUCAAGUCCGUAUGCUCCACGUCACACUGGGCAUACAGGAAGAGGGUUAACAGUCAAAUAUUCACUUCCUGAAAACGGAAUACAUUGUUACUUGGUCAGUGUAAUUGAAAUACAAACUCCGAGCCUUGUGUACUAUUAUUUUAGAAAACAGUAGUUGUACUGAUUAUAAACCUGCAUAGAAAGAAAGACUAUUGAGAUACAGUCAGAAAAGCCAUCUCAUAAGGCACACAAGAAAAUAGACAGUAAAUGUGAAUGUGUUAACUCCUAUUCCAAUGUACAGCAGAAGUUCAUGAACAUGCAUAAAUAAUAACGAAAGAAUCACUUAACACUUUCAAAGCUAUAAAUGGUUUACAAAGUGGUAAGGAUCAUCUUGGAAAUUCAGUGUUGGGAGACUGUCUUGUUUCAAUUAAGUGUGACCUUAUGAAGAAAUGUGCCUGUAUGUAGUUCAGUAAAAGAAGUACAUUUUAACGAAAAACUAAUCCUUUCUGAGGACAAGCCAAAUGUCUAUACUGACGAGGAGACGGCACAUCACCCUCCCUUUUUUGGCCUCUAUCAAAAAUUAAAACAGAAUUCCAUUUUUUUUUAGUUGUGAGUGCCACAGGUUUAUCCUGUACCUAAUACCUAUGUGUCAGUCAGGAAACCUGGCUGAUGAUUUGUCACAAAUAGCAUUAUGAGGAAAUUGUCAAAAGGAAGGCAAUUUAGGGGGAAAAGCAAAACAUAAGUAAAAACUGUAGGUAGCUGCUCAAUAUUAACUGUAAAAUACAAAAUAGCAGCAACUCUUAAACCCUUAUUUUGAGUUUCUCAGGAAAGGGAGUAUUUAAAAAAUCUAUGAUGAAAGAUAUACAGGACUUUGAAUUUUGUUUGUGGCACAAGCCCAGGAAACGCACGAACCUGCUAUCACGCCUUCGCUGUCUUCCUGCAGGAGGAGUAAGGCCUUGUUCAGAAGCUAAGCUGAGUGCAGCACGGGCUCCAUUAGGAUGGCAGGCCGUGCUGAGGAUCUGCCCACGAGAGAAUUUCUCCCCACACCAAAGUGUCAUUUCACUGCACAGAGAGUUCAGGAUGGUAGGAUUUUGUAACCAGCUGCAUCAUUCGAUUUUAGAGGGUCAAGGAAGAAAAGAUCCCUUCCCCCC